rnacentral:rRNA from 1 species
AGCGGCGGACGGGUGAGUAACGCGUGGGUAACCGUGCCUCAUACAGGGGGAUAACAGUUGGAAACGGCUGCUAAUACCGCAUAAGCGCACAGUACCGCAUGGUACGGUGUGAAAAACUCCGGUGGUAUGAGAUGGACCCGCGUCUGAUUAGGUAGUUGGUGGGGUAACGGCCUACCAAGCCGACGAUCAGCAGCCGACCUGAGAGGGUGACCGGCCACAUUGGGACUGAGACACGGCCCAA